AUGGCGGACCGGCGGCGGCAGCGCGCCUCGCAGGACAGCGAGGACUCGGACUCGGAUUCGGACUCGGCCGCCUCCGACAGCGGCGCCUCGGCCGCCAGCGCCGCCCGCUCCCCAUCGCGCUCCGGCUCCGGGUCUCGCUCCGGGUCUCCGCGGCCGCAGCACCGCCCGCCGCGGGGCGCCGCGGGAGCCCUCAGCGCUGGGCCGCGGGGCCGCGGCGGCGCCGAGAGCGCUGCGGGGGGAGCGGCCAAGAGCGCGCCCGAGUCCGAGUGUGAAAGCGAGGAUGGCAUCGAGGGAGAUGCUGUGCUCUCGGAUUAUGAAAGCGCCGAAGACUCGGAGGCGGAAGAAGAGGAUUACAGCGAGGAGGAAAGUGCCAAAGUGGAACUGAAGCAGGACAGUAACGAUUCCUCUGGAUCAGCGGCGAAAGCGGAGAAAGGGGACGAGAAACCAGACUCUAAGGGUGCUGUGACUGGUGAGAGGCAAAGCGGGGACGGGCAGGAGAGCACUGAACCCGUGGAGAAUAAAGUUGGGAAAAAGGUUCCCAAGCACCUGGAUGACGAUGAGGAUCGGAAGAACCCAGCUUAUAUCCCACGGAAAGGGCUCUUCUUCGAGCAUGACCUCCGAGGGCAGACACAGGAGGAGGAGGUCAGGCCAAAGGGUCGUCAGAGGAAGCUGUGGAAGGACGAGGGCCGCUGGGAGCAUGACAAGUUCCGGGAGGACGAGCAAGCCCCCAAGACCAGGCAGGAGCUGAUCGCGCUCUAUGGCUACGACAUCAGAUCAGCACACAACCCUGACGACAUCAAGCCAAGGAGGAUGCGCAAACCGAGGUUUGGGAGUCCUCCUCAGCGAGAUCCAAACUGGUCCAACGAGAGGCCCAAUAAGCCCCCGAGGCACCAAGGUGCAGACAGCACUUCAGCUCCCCCACGAACCUUCACCAACAGGAGCUCUGCAGGGACAGGGAGGAUGCCCCCACCUAGGAAUUACCCAAGGCUGGGGGGCUACAAAGAGACCCGUCCAGGCUACCGAGCUUCAGAAGCCAGCAUCCAGCAUCUGUCUCGGAACGGUGAGCAAGUGAAACAGGAGGGCAGCUACCGAGGGAAGCGUGCAGAGCAGACCCCACCGAGGGACAAGUCACCCGAGGUGGAAGCAGCACACGUCCACAGCAGCCCUGUAAGGGAGGAGGUUGCUUUGGAAAACCAAGCCACAGCUGCAGAUGCUGCCCAGCCACCACCAGACAGACCAAUUGAAAAGAAGUCUUAUUCCCGGGCAAGAAGGACCAGAAUCAAAGCUGGGGAUGCAGGGAAGCUGGCGGAUGAAGUGCCCGCUUCGGAAGGGCUGGCUCCUGUGCCUCCAAAACCCGUGCAAGCUGAGACAUCCCUCCCACCAGCCAAGAGCAGCAAUUGGGAGUCGCCAGUAGAAUCCAGCUUGGAUGGACUCGAGCAAGAAAUGACCCAAAUGAAUCUCGCUGAGCAGAACUGGGCUCCAGGGCAGUCUCAGUUCAUACAGCCCCGGGAGCUGAGGGGUAUUCCUAACCACCAUCUGCACGUGGGAACUGGGCCACCGCCUCAGUUUAACAGGAUGGAGGAAAUGGCCGUGCAGGGGGGCCGUGUCAAACGCUACUCGUCGCAGCGGCAGAGAGCACCUGUGCCAGAGCCUGCCCCCCCCAUGCACAUCAGCAUCAUGGAAGGGCACUACUAUGACCCACUACAAUUCCAGGGACCAAUCUACACCCACAGUGAGAGCCCAGCCCCGCUGCCGCCCCAGGGCAUGAUCGUACAGCCAGAAAUGCACCUCCCUCAUCCAGGUUUACAUCCCCACCAGACGCCAGCCCCCAUGGCAAACCCUGGCCUGUACCCUCCGCCCGUCUCCAUGCCCCCGGGGCAGCCCCCUCCGCAGCAGCUGCUGGCCCCGACUUACUUCUCCCCUCCUGGAGUCAUGAAUUUUGGGAAUCCUGGCUAUCCCUACCCGCCGGGAGCGCUGCCCCCCCCGCCCCCUCCACAUCUCUAUUCCAACACGCAGGCCCAGUCCCAGGUGUAUGGAGGGGUCACCUACUACAACACUGUCCAGCAGCAAGUGCAGCCCAAGCCUUCUCCUCCUCGAAGGACAUCCCAGCCCGUGACUAUCAAGCCACCACCUCCUGAGGUUCUCGUUGCAGGUGGUAAGCAGGGUUCCAGUUAAGUUGGGUUUCUAAAUACUUUAAAACUAAACCCGCAUAAAAAGUAAGUCCAAAGUUGACUCUUGCUUGUUUUGCUUUGUUUUAUUUGCUCAGGGUAGAGAGCAGAGCGCUUUAGAGAGAGAAAAACCCAGUCCUAAGCUAGAAGGCAGUGACUUCUCCUGAAGAGACAGCAAAGGUGAAAAAUCCAAGGAGAGGAGCAACACGUAGAGGUGCAGCCGUGGGAAUCCCGACGCCAGCCUCAGCCCCUCGGCGCGGAGGAAGCUCCUGGGGAAAGGCUUCUUCCCUGGGCGUAGGUGAGGCAGCGGGAGGAAAUCAGCUGCACCGUCUCGUGCUCAGGGCCAGGCACCUUCCCCCUCUGGUUUUACCGGUGCCCUCCCAAAAAUCAUCUCACUGCUGCUGAUCUGCCCUCCUUCCCCUCCCUCCCUGCGGAAUCAACCCCCAGGGCCUUGGCCACAAGUUCUCUCAGCUUCUCUCUCCCUUACUAAAUGUCUGCCCUGUCCCCUCCCCUAGGAUGUUAAACUCCGUUGGCUUGAUUGUGCUCUCUGUUUUUAUUUAAGAAAUGAACCAGCUCCUUCAGUAAAGCUGAUUUGUUUCUUUUUGG